rnacentral:rRNA from 1 species
AUGGUUUUGAUAUCCGUCCCCGUCGGCCCUCGUCCGGGUUAUGAUUCGGAUGUGGAGGUAUCUGAACCGGAAAUUCCAACCGACCCUAUUAUCGAGAGGUUAAAUUUAGUUGAAACAAAAAAUGAGGAUUUGAAAGAAAAAUUGAAAAUAAUUGAGGGGGAGAAGAUGGAAUUGGAGUUGCAUGUUGCCGAUGUCGUCGAUGAUCACAAGAUUAAGAUGGAGAAAAUGCGCUUGAAGAUUAGAAAGAUUAGAAAAUAUACCAUUCAUAGUGAGGCUUGGUAUCAUUAUGCUGUUGGAUCAAUUGUUACCUUAGUUGCGAUCUUGAUCACAUUUGUUGUUGCAUUUAAAUUCUUUAGCUAG